GAAUUUUAAUGUGCGUAUUGUUAUGCGUUUACUUUUCUACAUUGGUUAGAGGUAUAGGGGGAGGGUUGAGAUCUCACAAACAUGUUUAACCCCGCCGCAUUUUUGCGCCUGUCCCAAGUCAGGAACCUCUGGCCUUUGUUAGUCUUGUAUUAUUUUAAUUUUAGUUUCUUGUGUACAAUUUGGAAAUUAAUAUGGCGUUCAUUAUC
rnacentral:lncRNA from 1 species